UUUCAGCGCUGCGCACACAGGCAAAAGCGCCCCACAUGCUUCCUGGUGUAGUGCUGCGCAGGCGCGAUGUGAGGAAGGAAGAUGGUGGCUACCAGGAGAGGCACACGCGUGGGGCCGGAGGAAGGCGAGGCAACGGGAGCGGAUUCGGGACAAGCAGAGAACGUGGGGAUGACUGAAGCCAACACCCAAAGCCAAAAGAGAAUGGAACCUCAGUCAGAAGAGCAAUUAGAAUCUGGGAUUGAAGACCAAGAUGUCUCCAAGGCACACAAGUCCACCCCCCAGACGGUCACAAGAAGCAGACGCCGAAGUGGCCAAUCGGAUGGAGAGGUUUCAGAAGCAGAUUCAACGUCGUCUAGCCAUUCCUUAAGAAUGACCCGGAGCAGGCAAUCCCUUACCCGCCUAACGGACUCUUCCAGGACUAUGAGAAGCAGCAGAUCCAUUGUGGUGACCGACCCAAUUCUGGAACUCAAAGAAGAUGUGGAAUUAUCCGAAGCUGAAUCUUUCUGUUCUUCCGUCUCUGCUAGAGAUACAAGGAGGCGAAGUACGAGAUUAAAGACUUCAGUAAGUCAGACGUUGGCCGAGGGUCCAGCCGUCAUUGAAAUAUCUGAUUCGGAGUCCAAUUGUUCUUCUGCUUCGGGGGUCAUGAGUAGGCGCACUAGGUCAUCAAGAAUCCAGGCAAGGCAGGUAAAAUGCCCACCCCCGCCGCCUGCCCAAAUUGAGGAGGUAUCAGAUGCCGAGUCGUGCAGUUCUGGCAUUUCAGAAAAUCCAGUAGCCAGACGCAUAAGGCAAGGAAUGAGAUCCACAACGCAGCAAGGAGAUGAUGGCAUAAGUGUUGAAACUCCCACUAAGGAGAAUCCAAAACUAGAAUCUCCAAAAAAACAGAGAAAUAGCAGGUCCGGAGUGGUUCCUGUGGUUCUGGAAAGAAGUGCUUUUGAAGCUGAAGAAAACAUAUUUUCCCCUCGUAGGAGUUUAAGAACUAGACAACGCGAAUAUGUAUAUAUAUCUAAUGAGGGUGUCGAUGCAACUGCAUCCUCAACCAUACCCGAAGUCCUGCCAUCGUCCAUUAGGGAUAGUCAAGAACCACUGGACAUGCCCAACGUAGAACAGGACUCUGCCAGCGUAUCAAAUGAAGUUAUAGAUCUUGAGCAAGAAGAGACCAGUAGCACCAACAAGGAGCCCAAAAAACAAUCAUGUGAAUUGAUGGAUCUUGAAAAGGGUUCAAAACAACCAAGUAGAACCAACAAGGAGACAGAUGACUUGUCAGAAGAGCGGAUAGAUCUUGAAGAGGAGCCAGAAGAGCCCAGUAAGGAGUUGGCCAAGGUAACCGAAGAACUGAUAGAUCUCGAAGAGGAGCCAGCAGAGCCCAGUAAGGAGUUGGCCAAGGUAACCGAAGAACUGAUAAAUCUCGAAGAGGAGCCAGCAGAGCCCAGUAAGGAGUUGGCCAAGGUAACCGAAGAACUGAUAAAUCUCGAAGAGGAGCCAGCAGAGCCCAGUAAGGAGUUGGCCAAUGUAGCCAAAGAACUGAUAGAUCUCGAAGAGGAGCCAGCAGAGCCCAGUAAGGAGUUGGCCAAUGUAACUGAAGAACUGAUAGAUAUCGAAGAGGAGCCAGCAGAGCUCAGUAAGGAGUUGGCCAAUGUAACUGAAGAACUGAUGGAUCUUGAACAGGAGGCUGUAAACUCCAAUAACACCAGCAAAUCAUUAACCAGCCCUUUAAUGUCUGAUCGGGUUGAUAUAGACAGUCAGGUUCUGGAAGGGCCAAGCCAUAAGCUCAACAGGGAGAGUCCAGGUAAGGGGUCUGGGAGCAGUAACAGUCAAUCGAGCCGCCCUAAUAUAGAUCUAUAUCUGGAUAGCGAUGAGAGUGAAGAUUCUCAAGACAGUGAUGAUGCAGAGGUGACUACAGAUGAUGAAGAAAUGGAAGAGGAAACCGAGAACGCAAUUGGUACCAGGAGAAGCAAAGAGCGGCCUUUAGAGGAUGCCCUUGACGAUGGGCUUUUUGUUAUUGACACUGUUCCUGGAUUAGACCCCAGUAAAACCUACUACAUGGAUCACAAGAAAGAUGCUGCGAAGAGCGGAGACGAGGAGCGCGGAGAAGAGGAAGAGUCAGACGAUGACUUUAUUGAUGAAGACGAGGAAGAAGAAGAUGAAGAAAAUGAUCUGUUAAACAGACCCAAUCCUGCCCUUAAACUCUCGAGCAGCAUUAAAACGGGACUGAACAUCAAGGACCUGGGGGGUUUGUGCAUUAACUUCGAUGGGGAGAAGCCCAACCCCAGGCCGAGCCUGGAAAAGAAGAUGAAGAAGGACCACUCAAAGAUAGAGGAGGUUCUUAAAAAGAGUGUGAUUACCCCUGACAUUGAGAAGAAGGAAAGCAUCAAGCCAUACAAAGAGUCUGCAAAUCAGCUGAAGAAGCAGCGCAAGGAGGAGAGAGAGAAGACGACGGGACACGGCUGGUUUGACAUGAAAGCCCCAGAAAUGACGGAGGACUUGAAAAAUGACCUGAAGGCUUUAAAGAUGAGAGCCGCCAUGGAUCCCAAACGGUUUUACAAGAAGAACGACAGAGACGGCUUCCCCAAGUAUUUCCAGGUUGGAACUGUAGUGGACACCCCAUUAGACUUCUACCAUUCCAGAAUUCCUAAGAAGCAGAGAAAGAGGACAAUAGUGGAGGAGCUUCUGGCAGACUCAGAAUUCAGGAGAUACAAUAAGAAGAAAUACAGAGAGGUCAUGGCAGAGAAGGCCGCCAUCGCCGAAGGCAAGAAGAAACGAAAGACGAAGAAAUUCCGAAAAUAAUGGCAAAACAGAGACAAAUAGGAAGUUGCUUUAUAGUGGGAGGAGCUGGCAGAAUCUCUGCUCCCCCGAAGAAGGAGAUUGGACAAUUGUAAAUUCUAUAACUGCCUGUGUCUCAUAGGGACUUAUUCUCUAUACAGAGAGCAACACCGCGCAGAAGGGGCAGUGCCUUUCCAUGGAAAGAGCCUAAUGUGGAAUACGUGCUGGCCACUAGUCACCCUGCAACUGCCAGAUACAAUUAUAUAUAGAUAUCUAUAUAUGUAUAGUGUAUACAGUAUAUAUAUAAAUAGACUUUCCAAGCCACAGCUAGAUCUAAUCAAAAUAAAUAUCAACUGGAGCUUA